AACUAUAUUAUUUGUAAUUUUUUCACUUAUAAUAUAGGUACAUUUUAUUUCCUGUUCUUCAACUAUUCACGAUGGCAUUAACGAAACCACAAAACUGCUAUUUCCCAUUGAGUAUUCCAAGACACUUCGCAUUCACACCAGAAUCAGCCAAGAAAUUAAAAAAUACAUUGCUCAGUGAUCAAAGGUUGUCUGUCGAGAACUUCAAUAAAGGCCUGGAAGUAUGCAAGGAUUUAAACAUUAAAAAAAUCGAUUUGAUUACUGCCCAAUGUUACCGAAACUUAAGCAAUUUUAAACGAAAUUAUUCUCAUAAAACUCAUAUUGAAUCAUCAGAAAAAUUUGUCUUAACUGAGCUGUACAAAAUAAUUCCAAACAUUUAUUUUGGGUCUUCGAGAAAUAGGACUCAAUUUAAUAAAAUUGUCAAUAGGAUACUAACACAAAGUUAUGGAGAAUGUGUACAUUUAUCCUUUUUAAUUCAGGGUUUUAACUUGGAUUCUGUUCCUUGGCUUGAUUGUUAUCCCGAUUCAAUAAAGUCAACAAAAUUGAUGUCCACCAAUAUACUGCUGAUGCAGACAAUUGUAAAGCCUCUAAUUAAUUAUUGCUGGUAUUUCGAAAAGGAUAUUAGGACUACUGAGGCUUGGCUGGUACCUAGAAGUCAAAAUGAUUCUUUUUGUGACCAGAACCUUAAUUUAGCCAUUAGACAUGGGUUGCUAGAACAUGUAAAUGAUAUACAGAGUAAAGAUGUUUUGGGAAGGUUAUUAUUUACAAAAAAAGGACCAGAAGGUUUAGAUUAUAGACCAAUACUAUGUCAAAGUUAUAGAGGCAAAAAUAACUAUUUAAGGAAAAAAUUAGUUGCAGUUAUUAAUAGUUAUCAAAUAGGGAUUGAACAGGAUCUGUAUAAAAAAUGGGACAGUUUUGUGGAGUUUAAUUUAAAUAAAUCAGCCUAUUGUGGUCACCAAAAAACCUUUUAUGGAGUUAAAUUGGAUUUGCUUGAUGCAUUUGGCCUGGUAGAACUGGAACAACUGAAGAAUAUUAUAAGCAAUAUAAAUCCACAACUUUUAACCACAAAUGAUAAAAAAAGCUUAAAUAGGAUAAUUGAUAAACAGUAUGUCUUUGUGAGGGGCAAGAAAGUCUAUAGUUGGAAAAAAGAUUUGAGGCUCUUAACUUUUACUUCAGUGCCUUUGAGGUGAAUACGAAGUAUAACUACAUCGACACUGUGGUGAAAAACAUUUUUGACGGGAUGAUAUUCGCCGCGUUCAAACUGUUUACGGCCGUUGAAAGUGUCAAUUACUUGUUUAAGAAGAAAGAAGAGGCUGCAGUAAUUUAUGACGCCAUCCAUGAGAGAUGUAUUUAGUGUCCUGAGCAACCCUCCAAUUCACACCCUCCUUAAAGAACAACUAGUAAACGCAGCACGUAAUAUUCAACCCCCUAUAGAAUGCGUAGUAGGUUUAGACGCGAGGGGAUUUUUAUUUGGCCCCAUCA
rnacentral:misc_RNA from 1 species